rnacentral:rRNA from 1 species
AUUGGGCGUAAAGAGUUGCGUAGGUGGUUAUGUAAGUGAAUAGUGAAACCUGGUGGCUCAACCAUACAGACUAUUAUUCAAACUGCAUAACUCGAGAGUGGUAGAGGUAACUGGAAUUUCUUGUGUAGGAGUGAAAUCCGUAGAUAUAAGAAGGAACACCAAUGGCGUAGGCAGGUUACUGGACCAUUUCUGACACUAAGGCACGAAAGCGUGGGGAGCGAACCGGAUUAGAUACCCGGGUAGUCCACGCCGUAAACGAUGGAUACUAGCUGUUGGAGGUAUCGACCCCUUCAGUAGCGAAGCUAACGCGUUAAGUAUCCCGCCUGUGGAGUACGGUCGCAAGACUAAAA